rnacentral:rRNA from 1 species
CCUACGGGAGGCAGCAGUGAGGAAUAUUGGUCAAUGGGCGCGAGCCUGAACCAGCCAAGUCGCGUGAGUGAUGAAGGUUCUAUGGAUCGUAAACCUCUUUUAUAAGGGAAUAAAUUGUUGGACGUGUCCUUUUUUGUAUGUACCUUAUGAAUAAGGAUCGGCUAACUACGUUCCAGCAGCCGCGGUAAUACGGAGGAUCCGAGCGUUAUCCGGAUUUAUUGGGUUUAAAGGGUGCGUAGGCGGCCUUUUAUGUCAGCUGUGAAAGUCUGUGGCUCAACCAUAGAAUUGCCGUUGAAACUGGGGGACUUGAGUGUGUUUGAGGAAAGCGGAACGCGUGGUGUAGCGGUGAAAUGCUUAGAUAUCACGCAGAACACCGAUGGCGAAGGCAGCCUGCCAAGCCAUGACUGACGCUGAUGCACGAAAGCGUGGGGAUCAAACAGGAUUAGAUACCCGAGUAGUC